ensembl:lncRNA
GGCCUUUGAGCCCUUCACAGGAAAGUCAAAGGGAGCUGGGCCAUGCCGUGUAUAGAAAGUGGCAGAAGCGUUCAGACUACACACUGCUUGUUUUAGUGCCUCUGAAAGUAGAAGAAUGAGAUAAAGGAGAGGGAACAUGAUUUGGAAAAAACACUCCUCCAGCACUUCAGCUGGCAGUGCAGCAAGUCUCUACUGAACCAGCAGCAGGAGCAGGAAGGCAGAUCGAGAUUUGCAGGAGCAGGUGGGAGGGUUGGCUUCACUGCUAGUAGUCACUGCUGGAGUCCAACAGCAGGAGAUGCCAUUCUGCAGAGACUGAUUGCUCCAAAUUGCUGUGCAGAGAGCAGCUUCUUGUUAGAUCAUGGGCAUCCAUUACAGUGACAUGAAAGUGGG